AUUGAACGCUAGCGGGAUGCUUUACCCAUGCAAGUCGAACGAGUGGCGGACGGGUGAGUAAUAUAUCCGAACGUGCCCAUUAUCGGGGUAUCACUACUCUAAAGAGUGGCUAAUACCGCUUACUAUUGGAGCGGCCGAUAUCGGAGUAGCUAGUGGGUGGGGUAAAGGCUCACCAAGGCAACGAUCCUUAGCUGGUUUGAGAGGCCGACCAGCCACACUGGGACUGAGACACGGCCCAGACUCCUACGGGAGGCAGCAGUGGGGAAUUGUGGACAAUGGGGGAAACCCUGAUCCAGCCAUCCCGCGUGUAUGAGAAGGCCUUCGGGUUGUAAAGUACUUUUGGCAGAGAAGCGGUAUCUGCAGAAUAAGCACCGGCUAACUACGUGCCAGCAGCCGCGGUAAUAC
rnacentral:rRNA from 1 species